AUCAUUCAAGAGGGAAUGCAAUAAUCUCUGAAGGAUACAGGGAAAAUGCAUGGCAGCAGCAUCCAAGAGAAGUUCCAAUAUUCUCUGAGAAGCAUGUUUUGUCAAGCCAUGACAAAGCUGAAUUGGAGCAAGACCGAGAAAAGCUGAUAGGCCGUAACAUGUCCAAGAAAACAUCUCAACCUGCUAUUGCAUCUGCAACAAAAGCUGCAGCUCCUGCUGCUACUACACUUCCUGAAGGGUCAUCAGACACAGUACAUUCUUUAGCCUCCAAAUUUCAAGGCCUUGGUGUUUCUAAACCCGUUGAGUAUCGCACUUCAUCAUCAUCACCAACAGCUGCAAAUCUUGUUGCUCCAAAACCUCUUGUCAGGAUGCACUCCACUGUUUCUUCACGCGCACCGCGAACUCCAUCAGCUUCAAUGACUCCGACAGCUUUACCCUCAUCUGCUCCAGCUGGUAGUAAGAAUACCAGCCCAACCUCGCAAUUAUGG
rnacentral:lncRNA from 1 species